CCAAUAGCGUAUAUUAAAGUUGUUGCAGUUAAAAAGCUCGUAGUUGAAUUUCGGGAUCAAAGAAUCGGUCAUGCCUUGGUAUGUACUGGUUUUAUUGGUUCUCACCUUCUAAAGAACCAUGAUGUCAUUCAUUUGAUGUUAUGGGGAAUUAGGACUGUUACCUUGAAAAAAUUAGAGUGUUUAAAGCAAGCUUACGCUUGAAUACAUUAGCAUGGAAUAAUGAAAUAGGACAUCAGAUUCUAUUUUGUUGGUUUCUAGGAUCGAUGUAAUGAUUAAUAGGGAUAGUUGGGGGCAUUAGUAUUCAAUUGUCAGAGGUGAAAUUCUUGGAUUUAUUGAAGACUAACUACUGCGAAAGCAUUUGCCAAGGAUGUUUUCAUUAAUCAAGAACGAAAGUUAGGGGAUCGAAGACGAUCAGAUACCGUCGUAGUCUUAACCAUAAACUAUGCCGACUAGGGAUCGGAUGAUGUUAAUUUUUUAAUGACUCAUUCGGCACCUUACG
rnacentral:ncRNA from 2 species